GGAUUGUUCACCCACCAA
rnacentral:snRNA from 1 species